rnacentral:rRNA from 1 species
GAUGAACGCUGGCGGCGUGCUUAACACAUGCAAGUCGAACGAUGAAGCCCAGCUUGCUGGGUGGAUUAGUGGCGAACGGGUGAGUAACACGUGAGUAACCUGCCCUUGACUCUGGGAUAAGCCUGGGAAACUGGGACUAAUACUGGAUAUGACUUCUCAUCGCAUGGUGGGGGGUGGAAAGAUUUAUUGGUCUUGGAUGGACUCGCGGCCUAUCAGCUUGUUGGUGAGGUAAUGGCUCACCAAGGCGACGACGGGUAGCCGGCCUGAGAGGGUGACCGGCCACACUGGGACUGAGACACGGCCCAGACUCCUACGGGAGGCAGCAGUGGGGAAUAUUGCACAAUGGGCGCAAGCCUGAUGCAGCGACGCCGCGUGAGGGAUGACGGCCUUCGGGUUGUAAACCUCUUUCAGUAGGGAAGAAGCGAGAGUGACGGUACCUGCAGAAGAAGCGCCGGCUAACUACGUG